rnacentral:rRNA from 1 species
UACGAAGGGGGCUAGCGUUGCUCGGAAUCACUGGGCGUAAAGGGUGCGUAGGUGGCCAACUAAGUCAGACGUGAAAUCCCUCAGCUUAACUGGGGAACUGCGUCUGAUACGGGCAGGCUUGAGUUCGGUAGGGGAGACUGGAAUUCCUGGUGUAGCGGUGAAAUUCGUAGAUAUUCGGAGGAACACCAGUGGCGAAGGCGGCUCACUGGUCCAUUACUGACGCUGAGGUGCGAAAGCGUGGGGAGCAAACAGG